UACAGAGGGGGCAAGCGUUGUUCGGAAUUACUGGGCGUAAAGGGCGCGUAGGCGGCCCGCUAAGUCGAACGUGAAAUCCCCGGGCUCAACCCGGGAACUGCGUCCGAUACUGGUGGGCUUGAAUCCGGGAGAGGGAUGCGGAAUUCCAGGUGUAGCGGUGAAAUGCGUAGAUAUCUGGAGGAACACCGGUGGCGAAGGCGGCUUCCUGGACCGACACUGACGCUGAGGCGCGAAAGCUAGGGGAGCAAACGGG
rnacentral:rRNA from 1 species